rnacentral:rRNA from 1 species
GAGGCGCAGCCUGAUCAGCAUGCCGCGUGUGUGAAGAAGGCCUUCGGGUUGUAAAGCACUUUUGUCCGGAAAGAAAACGCCGUGGUUAAUACCCGGGGCGGAUGACGGUACCGGAAGAAUAAGCACCGGCUAACUACGUGCCAGCAGCCGCGGUAAUUA